rnacentral:pre_miRNA from 1 species
UUUAUACUCCCUCCGUUCGGAAUUACUUGUCUCGAAUAUGGAUGUAUCUAGAAUUAAAAUACAUCUAGAUACAUCCAUUUUUGCGACAAGUAAUUCUGAACGGAGGGAGUAUUAU